rnacentral:rRNA from 1 species
UACGAGGGGAGCAAGCGUUGUUCGGAUUUACUGGGCGUAAAGGGCGCGUAGGCGGUGCGAUAAGUCAGGCGUGAAAGGCCCGGGCUCAACCCGGGGACUGCGCUUGAUACUGUUGCGCUGUGAGUCCGGGAGAGGAUGGCGGAAUUCCCAGUGUAGAGGUGAAAUUCGUAGAUAUUGGGAAGAACACCGGUGGCGAAGGCGGCGAGCUGGUCCAUUACUGACGCUGAGGCGCGACAGCGUGGGGAGCAAACAGG